CCAGGUUCAAGCGAUUCUCCUGCCUCAGCCUCCUGAGUAGCUGGGAUUACAGGCACACGCCAUCAUGCCCAGCUAAUUUUUCGUGUUUUUUUUUUUGUUGUUGUUGUUGUUUGUUUUGUUUUUUUGAGACGAAGUUUCGCUCUUGUUACCCAGGCUGGAGUGCAAUUGCGAGAUCUCGGCACACGGCAACCUCCAUCUCCCAGGUUAAAGCAAUUCUCCUGCCUCAGCCUCUCGAGUACCUGGGAUUACAGGCAUGUGCCACCACGCCUGGCUAAUUUUGUAUUUUUAGUACAGACAGGGUUUUUCCAUGUUGGUCAGGCUGGUCUCCAACUCCCGGCCUCAGGUGAUCCGCCCGCCUCAGCCUCCCAAAGUGCUGGAAUUACAGGCGUGAGCUACCGAGCCCGGCUCAUUUUUGCAUUUUUGUAGAGACGGGAUUUCACCAUGUUGGCCAGGCUGGUCUUGAAGUCCUGACCUCAGGUGAUCCACCCGCCUCGGCCUCCCAAAGUGCUGGGAUUACAAGAGUGAGCCCAGGUCUGAGAGCACCCCCUCCAGAGCCUCCCUGAUCUCCCAAAAUUUGGUGGAGAUCUAAAGUUUAUUUUGCUGUACAACUCUUUUCUUUGCAGUUUUACUUGCUUCCAACAAGGAAGGCAAGGUUUCCUGCUUCCAUGACAAUGGAAGGCAGGUAACUCCUUUAUGGAGUUUGAGCUCGCUUCCAACAGGGAAGAUGAGGUCUUUUUUCCUGCUUCUAGAAUGGUAGAGAGCAGUCUACAGCCUAAGACCCAUCCCUAGGACACAGUUGGAGAAACAAGGCUUUGACUGGAAUGGUGUGCUUUCCUUUAAGGGAUCAAACUUGACUUAUGGAGCAAAUAAAAGCCCCUUGGAAAAACUGGCCUCAUACCUCUGCCUACACAGUCCCUGUACAGGAUUCCUGACCUGUGAACUAUUUUGGAAGGGAGAACCAUCAGGAUAUGCUGCUGGAUUCGAUGAGUACUUGGAGCCGGACUAGAUGAGAACAAGUUCGAGCCUCUGAUUUUACCCAAGUCAUAACCAAAGCAACAGUGCAGAGACGGAAGGAAAGGCUGGAGGAGCAGAGGGACAGGAAGCUGCAGCAUCUGCACAGACAGCAGCUGCCGACACAGUGGCUCCCCGAGGUCAGGCCAGAAGAAAGGGAAAGGGGUGAUUCCAACUGCAGACUCAGGCAGGUCCCCUGAGUCCAUCAGGCCAAAGUGUUGCUUGAGGAUUUCUUUUUCUGGCCUCCAUGGUGUGGUUGCAUCAACACUCCCCGCAUGCCCAGGGGGCUGUGGAUAUUGAGUCGGUGCCAGUUACUAAGUACGAGAUGUGCCGGAGUUGAUGUCUCAAGGUUGAGCUUCCCCACCUCCUCUCCAGCCCCCAGGGGAAAGCAGAGGAGAAAAUAUGACCACGCAACUUCAAAUCCUCAUCAGGAAUAAAGAUAAGAAAACGAUGGGACCGGCUGGGCGCAGUGGCUCAUGCCUGUAAUCCCAGUGCUUUGGGAGGCAGAGGCGGGCAGAUCACUUGAGCCCAGGAGUUCAAGACCAGCCUGGGCAACAUGGCACAACCUCAUCUCUACUGAUGCCGAGCCGAAGCUGGACUGUAUUGCUGCCAUCUCGGUCCGGGAGGGAGGUGGGGGGUCAGCCCCCGCCCGGCCAGCUGCCCUGUCCGGGAGGCAGGUUGGGGGCGCCUCCGCCCGGCCGCCGCCCCGUCCGGGAGGCGGGGGGCGCCUCUGCCCGGCCGCCCCUUCUGGGAAGUGAGGAGCCCCUCUGCCCGGCCACCACCCCGUCUGGGAGGUGUACCCAACAGCUCAUUGAGAACGGGCCAUGAUGACGAUGGCGGUUUUGUGGAAUAGAAAAGGGGGAAAGGUGGGGAAAAGAUAGAGAAAUCAGAUUGUUGCUGUGUCUGUGUAGAAAGAAGUAGACAUGGGAGACUUCAUUUUGUUCUGUACUAAGAAAAAUUCUUCUGCCUUGGAAAAAAUAAAAAUAUAAAAAAAAAUAAAACAAUUAAUAAAAGCAGGGCCCCAAGACUCUGGGUGAGUCUUACUUCACUAAGCCUAGGGUGAAAAACUAGAAACAAACUAAAGUCCUUCAACAUGGGAACGGCAAAGUAUAGUAUAAUCCAUACUGUACAAUGCUAUGCACAUCCACUAAAAACAAUCACAUUCACCUACAAACAUCACAGUUCUCAAAGAGAUUUUUUUUUAAUAGAGAUGGGGGCUGGGUGCAGUGGUUCACCCCUGUAAUACCAGCACUUUGGGAGGCUGACGCAGGAGGAUUGCUUGAGCCCAGGAGUUCAAGACCAGCCUGGGCAACAUAGUGGGACCUUGUCUCAAUAAAAAAUAAAAAAUUAGCCAGGCGUAGUAACAUGUGCCUGUGGUCCUAGCUACUCAGGAGGCUGAGGAGGGAGGAUCACUUGAGCCCAGGAGGUGGAGGCUGUAGCGAGUUAUGAUUAUGCCACUGCACUCCAGCCUGGGUGACACAGCAAGACCCUGUCUCAAAAAAUAAAUAAAUACAUAAAUAGAGACAGGGUCUCCCUAUGUUAUCCAGAAUGGUCUCAAACUCCUGGGCUCAAGUGAUCCUCCUGUCUCAACCUCCCAAAGUGCUGGGAUUACAGGUAUGAGCCACCACGCCCAGCCUCAAAGAGACUGUUGAAGAAGAUAGAAUAAAUUGUAGAAUGACACGUACAGUUGUAGAAAAAUACAUACAAGAAAACAUUUGCGUUUAAAAUUUUCUCUGUUGACAUAUAUAAAAAUAAAUAUAUAUAUACAUAUAUAUACAUAUAUGUAUAUAUAUAUAUAUUUUUUUUUUAAGAGACGCAGUC
rnacentral:lncRNA from 10 species